UACGUAGGGUGCAAGCGUUAAUCGGAAUUACUGGGCGUAAAGCGUGCGCAGGCGGUUUUGUAAGUCUGUCGUGAAAGCCCCGGGCUCAACCUGGGAAUUGCGAUGGAGACUGCAAGGCUUGAAUCUGGCAGAGGGGGGUAGAAUUCCACGUGUAGCAGUGAAAUGCGUAGAGAUGUGGAGGAACACCGAUGGCGAAGGCAGCCCCCUGGGUCAAGAUUGACGCUCAUGCACGAAAGCGUGGGGAGCAAACAGGAUUAGAUACCCGCGUAGUCC
rnacentral:rRNA from 1 species